GGGUUGUGAGGUUAAGCGACUAAGCGUACACGGUGGAUGCCCUGGCAGUCAGAGGCGAUGAAGGACGUGCUAAUCUGCGAAAAGCGUCGGUAAGGUGAUAUGAACCGUUACAGCCGGCGAUGUCCGAAUGGGGAAACCCAGUGCAAUUCGUUGCACUAUCGUUAACUGAAUACAUAGGUUAACGAGGCGAACCGGGGGAACUGAAACAUCUAAGUACCCCGAGGAAAAGAAAUCAACCGAGAUUCCCCCAGUAGCGGCGAGCGAACGGGGAGCAGCCCAGAGUCUGAAUCAGCUUGUGUGUUAGUGGAACGGUCUGGAAAGUCCGACGGUACAGGGUGAUAGUCCCGUACACCAAAAUGCACAGGUUGUGAACUCGAAGAGUAGGGCGGGACACGUGGUAUCCUGUCUGAAUAUGGGGGGACCAUCCUCCAAGGCUAAAUACUCCUGACUGACCGAUAGUGAACCAGUACCGUGAGGGAAAGGCGAAAAGAACCCCGGCGAGGGGAGUGAAAAAGAACCUGAAACCGUGUACGUACAAGCAGUGGGAGCACCUUCGGGUGUGACUGCGUACCUUUUGUAUAAUGGGUCAGCGACUUAUAUUCUGUAGCAAGGUUAACCGUAUAGGGGAGCCGCAGGGAAACCGAGUCUUAACUGGGCGUUAAGUUGCAGGGUAUAGACCCGAAACCCGGUGAUCUAGCCAUGGGCAGGUUGAAGGUUGGGUAACACUAACUGGAGGACCGAACCGACUAAUGUUGAAAAAUUAGCGGAUGACUUGUGGCUGGGGGUGAAAGGCCAAUCAAACCGGGAGAUAGCUGGUUCUCCCGAAAGCUAUUUAGGUAGCGCCUCGUGAACUCAUCUUCGGGGGUAGAGCACUGUUUCGGCUAGGGGGUCAUCCCGACUUACCAACCCGAUGCAAACUACGAAUACCGAAGAAUGUUAUCACGGGAGACACACGGCGGGUGCUAACGUCCGUCGUGAAGAGGGAAACAACCCAGACCGCCAGCUAAGGUCCCAAAGUCAUGGUUAAGUGGGAAACGAUGUGGGAAGGCACAGACAGCCAGGAUGUUGGCUUAGAAGCAGCCAUCAUUUAAAGAAAGCGUAAUAGCUCACUGGUCGAGUCGGCCUGCGCGGAAGAUGUAACGGGGCUAAACCAUGCACCGAAGCUGCGGCAGCGACACUAUGUGUUGUUGGGUAGGGGAGCGUUCUGUAAGCCUGCGAAGGUGUGCUGUGAGGCAUGCUGGAGGUAUCAGAAGUGCGAAUGCUGACAUAAGUAACGAUAAAGCGGGUGAAAAGCCCGCUCGCCGGAAGACCAAGGGUUCCUGUCCAACGUUAAUCGGGGCAGGGUGAGUCGACCCCUAAGGCGAGGCCGAAAGGCGUAGUCGAUGGGAAACAGGUUAAUAUUCCUGUACUUGGUGUUACUGCGAAGGGGGGACGGAGAAGGCUAUGUUAGCCGGGCGACGGUUGUCCCGGUUUAAGCAUGUAGGCUGGUUAUCCAGGCAAAUCCGGAUAAUCAAGGCUGAGGUGUGAUGACGAGGCACUACGGUGCUGAAGUAACAAAUGCCCUGCUUCCAGGAAAAGCCUCUAAGCAUCAGGUAACAUCAAAUCGUACCCCAAACCGACACAGGUGGUCAGGUAGAGAAUACCAAGGCGCUUGAGAGAACUCGGGUGAAGGAACUAGGCAAAAUGGUGCCGUAACUUCGGGAGAAGGCACGCUGGUGUGUAGGUGAAGUCCCUGCGGAUGGAGCUGAGACCAGUCGAAGAUACCAGCUGGCUGCAACUGUUUAUUAAAAACACAGCACUGUGCAAACACGAAAGUGGACGUAUACGGUGUGACGCCUGCCCGGUGCCGGAAGGUUAAUUGAUGGGGUUAUCCGUAAGGAGAAGCUCUUGAUCGAAGCCCCGGUAAACGGCGGCCGUAACUAUAACGGUCCUAAGGUAGCGAAAUUCCUUGUCGGGUAAGUUCCGACCUGCACGAAUGGCGUAAUGAUGGCCAGGCUGUCUCCACCCGAGACUCAGUGAAAUUGAACUCGCUGUGAAGAUGCAGUGUACCCGCGGCAAGACGGAAAGACCCCGUGAACCUUUACUAUAGCUUGACACUGAACAUUGAGCCUUGAUGUGUAGGAUAGGUGGGAGGCUUUGAAGCGUGGACGCCAGUCUGCGUGGAGCCAACCUUGAAAUACCACCCUUUAAUGUUUGAUGUUCUAACGUUGGCCCCUGACCGGGGUUGCGGACAGUGUCUGGUGGGUAGUUUGACUGGGGCGGUCUCCUCCCAAAGCGUAACGGAGGAGCACGAAGGUUAGCUAAUCCUGGUCGGACAUCAGGAGGUUAGUGCAAUGGCAUAAGCUAGCUUGACUGCGAGCGUGACGGCGCGAGCAGGUGCGAAAGCAGGUCAUAGUGAUCCGGUGGUUCUGAAUGGAAGGGCCAUCGCUCAACGGAUAAAAGGUACUCCGGGGAUAACAGGCUGAUACCGCCCAAGAGUUCAUAUCGACGGCGGUGUUUGGCACCUCGAUGUCGGCUCAUCACAUCCUGGGGCUGAAGUAGGUCCCAAGGGUAUGGCUGUUCGCCAUUUAAAGUGGUACGCGAGCUGGGUUUAGAACGUCGUGAGACAGUUCGGUCCCUAUCUGCCGUGGGCGCUGGAGAAUUGAGGGGGGCUGCUCCUAGUACGAGAGGACCGGAGUGGACGCAUCACUGGUGUUCGGGUUGUCAUGCCAAUGGCACUGCCCGGUAGCUAAAUGCGGAAGAGAUAAGUGCUGAAAGCAUCUAAGCACGAAACUUGCCCCGAGAUGAGUUCUCCCUGAGACUAUAAGUCUCCUGAAGGAACGUUAAAGACGAUGACGUUGAUAGGCCGGGUGUGUAAGCGCAGCGAUGCGUUGAGCUAACCGGUACUAAUGAACCGUGAGGCUUAACCUUACAACGCCGAAG
rnacentral:rRNA from 1 species